CCCGAACCACGCGCGAGAAAAUUGAAAAGGAGAAAAAACCGGAUCCCCGUCGCUACCUGCCCUUAGCUCGCAUCUCUCCCGAUAGGAUUCUCCCCGCCUCCGCCACCGCCCUUCCUCGCCUCCGCCGCUGCCGCCGCUGUUCCCCAUCUCGCCGCCGCCGCCCUCUAACAUCCUUUCCAGCACGAAGUCGCCGUCCGGCCCUCCCGAUACUUUGCGGCCACACCUCCUCCUCUGCCGCCAAUACACAUCCCCGUUCUCCUCUUCCGAACCCGCGCCUCCGCAUCCGCUGCCGCCGCCGCUUCCCAGUUCUCCUCCUCCCCACUCAGCACGCCUCAGAGUUCUGCGGCCGUCGCACGCCGCCGCUUCCGUAGCUACUCCGCUGCCCUACCCACCCGAUCAGAAACAAGCCCCCGCAACUGCUCACCCGCCCAUCUUGCCGUCAGCCCUCCUACGAUGUAUAGUUCUGCACAACCCCUCCACCCCACCGGAGCUCCUCCCCGGCCUAUCCCGGAUUGACCCCAAAUCGGUACCUCAUCGCCGUUCCCCAUCACCUCCGCCCGCAGCCACCUUGCCCCCGGCCACCGCCACCUGCAUAUCCUUCCCCAGCACGCCUCCUCAUCCGACACAUCCCCUCGAUCACUCUCCUCUUUGCUGGCUGAUGCAGCGAAUCGCGAUCUCCACCUCGGUUUGUCUCGACCGCCGCCAGAAGAUUCAGAAUCCGGCUGGUCGUCCUCCGCGCUGCUCACCUCCGCUUGCGUCGCCAUUCCCAACACCACAUACGGGUUCAGGUCCCCUCCCAAAACUCUCACCGAGCCCGUUUGGGGCACUGACAAGCGCAACCUCUGUGGUGAACAGAUAAUUGGGGUAACCAUUAGAAGAGCAUGGUCUAAUGCUUUGCAACUGAAUCUUACUCUGUCUUUCCUCAAUUCAGUUUAAAUUUGUAGGGAGAUGUUGCUUGCAGGAUUCAGGUACUAUCUUCAAAUGGGUGUUGAUUCACAAGAUCUGAAAUCUCUAGAUAGGUGGUGGAGUGCACUACCUAUCCAACGUUCCCUUUCCUUAUUGAGGUGAGGGAGCGACACUAUUGGGUGACUCAACGGGUAUGAAUAUAUAUGUCAAAUGGUCAAUGUGGACAAGUAUCAAGUAUGUAUCUUUUCAGCUUUGUGUUAACAUGGUCAAGGCGUUCAGGUCUAAAAUUUUAGGCCGAAACCGUGUAGAAGUAUCAGGUUUGCACAGUGAUAUAUCUUGUAAUUUUAAGAUUACGAUGAAUGUGUUACUGGGAUUCUGUGGAAAGGGUACAAAUUAAUAGGGAUCUACACGGGCAUCAAUUUUUCAUACUGCUGAUAUCUAUCUCAACUCAUGGUUUUGCUUCAAACGUUCUAAUCUGUACUGAUCCUUGUAGUCUGUUAUAGUAAUCACUUGCAAUACCUUCAAGUCACACAGAUGAGGAGGUGUUAGUUUUUAAAGGGGAAUCUUUUGCUGGACCAAAUUUGCUAAUAUAGUGCGACUGAGAGGAGUGUGGAUAUGCUACUUCAUGGAAAGAAGCCACUGGUUGAGGUAGCUGACAUUAAGAGACUCAUGUUCUACUCUCAUACCCUCGGAAAGGACCGCGUUUCGUCGUGCUCUAGGUACUUUAAAAUCCCUCCCCCGUACCUGUACGGCGGCCGGCAGGUGUUGGGUGUCGCAGGCUCGCUCUCUUUCGUGCCCGAGGUGACCAGUGAUCAGAAGGUGCCAGGAGCAGCACCGUGGGCAGUAGCGCUCUUAAUUGCUGGUAGCUCACCGCCGGUGCCUCAUCCAAUCAGUGGUACCUCAUCGUUGUGUGCCUUUUCACUUUCAGAGCAUUCCUUCUGUAAUUUAUUCAUCUGCUCUUCUUUCUGAUUGAAGCGAGUCUAUAGGCGACUGAAGUUGUACAACAGAAAAUUAGUAGAGUUAAAUCAUGAAAUUAUGGAUCAUCUGAUUGAAUCAUCUGCUCUUUAUUCUGGAUAAUUGUAUACAAUGUACUGCACUCUUGGAACUUGAAAUUACACUCAUAUAUACUACACGAUUUAGUA